rnacentral:tRNA from 1 species
GGCUUUAAAUUGAAUUAUAGAAUGCAAUUCUGUAUAGGUAAAUUUAUAUUUACUAAGGCCU